rnacentral:rRNA from 1 species
AUUGACCGCUGGCGGCAGGCCUAACACAUGCACGUCGAACGAGUGGCGGACGGGUGAGUAAUGUCUGGGAACCUGCCUGCUGGAGGGGGCUAACUACUGGAAACGGUAGCUAAUCCCGCAUCCCAUCCGAUGUGCCCCGAUGGGAUUAGCUUGUUGGUGGGGUACCGGCUCACCAAGGCGACGAUCCCUAGCUGGUCUGAGAGGAUGACCAGUAACACUGGAACUGAGACACGGGCCAGACUGCUACGGGAGGCAGCAGUGGGGAAUAUUGGACAAUGGGAGAAAGCCGGAUCCAGCCAUGCCGCGGGAGUGAAGAAGGUCUUCGGAUGGGAAAGCACGGGCAGCGGGGAGGCGUUACCCGAAGAAGAAGCACCGGCUAACUCCGUGCCAGCAGCCGCGGUAAUAC